rfam:Triticum urartu cultivar G1812 contig674638, whole genome shotgun sequence.
UUACUACUUCCUCCGUCCGGAAAUACUUGUCUUAGGAAUGGUUUUAUCUAGACUUAUUUUAGUUAUAGAUACAUCCAUUUUAUCCAUUUCUAGGACAAGUAUUUCCGGACGGAGGGAGUACAUU